GUCUUUUUGAGUUAUUUUUAAAGUCUGACCUGCCCACUGAGUUUUAAAUGGCCGCAGUAUUUUAACUGUGCAAAGGUAGCAUAAUCAUUAGUCUUUUAAUUGAAGGCUGGUAUGAACGGUUGGACGAGGUAUAAGCUGUUUCAUAUAAAAUUAUAAUAGAAUUUUAUAUUUUAGUUAAAAAGCUAAAAUAUAAUUAAAAGACGAGAAGACCCUAUAAAUCUUUAUACUUUAGAUAAUUUAAAUUUUUUGGGUUUAUUUUAUUUUUAUUAUAUUGAGUAUUUUGUUGGGGUGAUAUUAAAAUUUAAUGAACUUUUAAUUGGUGUUUAAAUCAUUAAUUUAUGAAUUGUUGAUCCAUUAAUAGUGAUUAUAAGAUUAAGUUACUUUAGGGAUAACAGCGUAAUUUUUUUGGAGAGUUCAUAUCGAUAAAAAAGUUUGCGACCUCGAUGUUGGAUUAAGAUAUAAUUUUAGGUGUAGUCGCUUAAAUGUUAAGUCUGUUCGACUUUUAAAUUCUU
rnacentral:rRNA from 1 species